rnacentral:rRNA from 1 species
CAGCUCGUGUCGUGAGAUGUGGUAGUCCGCAACGAGCGCAACCCCUACUUGUUAGUUGCCAUCAUUCAGUUGGGCACUCUAGCGAGACUGCCGGUAAUAAACCGGAGGAAGGUGGGGAUGACGUCAAAUCAUCAUGCCCCUUAUGACCUGGGCUACACACGUGCUACAAUGGUUGGUACAACGAGUUGCGAGUCGGUGACGGCGAGCUAAUCUCUUAAAGCCAAUCUCAGUUCGGAUUGUAGGCUGCAACUCGCCUACAUGAAGUCGGAAUCGCUAGUAAUCGCGGAUCAGCACGCCGCGGUGAAUACGUUCCCGGGCCUU